GAGAAGGCAGUAAGAGAGUUGCAUUCUGGACUAGUGAAAGUAAAGAUACCACUUUGCUCAUAGUGAAACAUCCAGUUGAAAAGAGAAGUGAUGGCUCUCAGUCCCGUGGUGACAGUGUUUGGCCCGAGAGCUCUGAGGGCCUGUGUUUGCCUUGCUCGGUAAAUAUUGAGUGAGUAAACAGAGCCUGAGUGGGCUCUAGAAUAAGUUUCUCUUGUCACUCUGGAGCCCGUGCCUUUUCAAGUGAUCAGCAUCUUCCACUUCCUUAAGCAUGUAUGGCGUGAGCAGUGCUUCCGGUGUGCCCCAUUGUCUUGUUCGAUUCUCUAUUACACCUUGUGAAGAAUCAAUGUUUACGUGGCAGUCCUGGCCUGUAGAGGAAACAGCUGCAGACAUCCAGUUUUCAGAGCAAACUGCACCUUUAGCUUUUUGCUGAGCAACUGAACAUGGACUGGGAAUGCUAAACAUGAUAUACUAGCAUUUGAUCAAACAGCUUCGAAGCUGAAUAUUUUAACUCUGGAAUAUCUUGAAGUGUUCACCUAGAAGACUUCCGUUAGUGGUGACCCUGCUUUGGGCUGGAAAACCUGAUCCACGGGGCCAAUGCUAAUAUCUGUGAUGGUGUAGUGUUUUAUCAGAGCCGAAGUCUUGGUAUGUGGCCCAGACUAACAUCAAAUUCACUGUAUAGCCUAAUGUGACCUCAGAUUGGCAGCAACCUUCCUUUCGGCUUCCUGAGCACUGGAAUUACAAGAUGAAAUAGGACCAACUUCCUCACAUUCCUCCCUUCACAGAUUCCUCAUCAUAAUGGACUGCUCCCUCAGACUGUGAGGAAGGAGAGACAUAACCCUUUGGAAGUGAGUUGGGAGCCUAGCUGUGAUUAGACCCAAGAUAUGAUCAGUGUCCUGCUCAGCCAUCACCAGAGAACCUUCCCACCUCGGCAAAUGGGAACAAACACAGAGACCCACAGUCAGACAUCAUGCGGAGAGCGAGAGACGUUGGAAUACUCAGUACAGAACUGGAUAUCCUCGUCCAAUCCCUCCCCUAAGGGCUCAGAGAAGCCCAUGGAAGACGAGGCAGAGAGAAUGUAACAGCCAGAGGGGAUGAAGAACCCAAGGAAACAAGGCCAUCUGAACCAUCAAGACAGAUGCACACAUGAACUCACAGAGACUGAGGUAGCAUGCACCGAGCCUUCAAAGUGGGCAUGUGAUAGGGUUCAGGUGCUGAAAGGAGAAAUGGAUACAUGUCCCCAUCCCUAACCUAGAAGCUAUCUCCCACUGAUAACCACUUUCAAAUAAAAGUUUUUUUUUUCCAAAGGAGUCUCACUGGAGAAACAAACUACUCUUAAGGGGAGGGGCAUGACCAGCUGCAGACGCCAACAGUCGGUGAACUCACAGGCAUUGGUGGAGGUCCCUGUCUCAGUGUCACGUCAGGGCCUUUUCUUCUCUUUUAUUAGUUUUAAACUUUACCUUUUUUAUUCUUUAUAUUUAUAAUAAAGGAUCUACAGGUCCUUUGCAUAUACAUUACAGGAUCUGGUUUUACGUUUUUAUGGAAAGUUUGAGCAGACAAAUGAGUGGCUCUUAUGUCUUUUCUUGGGCUCUUUUCCUUCUGUUUGUAUUCUCCUAUUCUGAUUUGUUUCUAUUUUAUCAUAUUAUAUUAUAUCGUUUCAUAUAAUAUUCCCUUAUACACAGGGAAACAGAAAGAAAGUGGAUCAGGAUGGGAAGGAAUGUGGGCAGGAACAGGGCAGAGUAGGAGGAAAGAAACUGUAAUGAAGGUAUGUUGUAUGAAAACAAUCCAUUCUCAAUAAAAGGAAAAAAUCACAAA
rnacentral:sRNA from 1 species